CACUUUGAAACCAGAUUCUAGCAGGUUGGAAAACAUUAAGUCUUGGGUGCUUGGCGCUUUCGCUCUUCUGUGUCUUCUUGGCCUCACCUGGUCCUUUGGGUUGCUUUUUAUUAAUGAGGAGACUAUUGUGAUGGCAUAUCUCUUCACUAUAUUUAAUGCUUUCCAGGGAGUGUUCAUUUUCAUCUUUCACUGUGCUCUCCAAAAGAAAGUACGAAAAGAAUAUGGCAAGUGCUUCAGACACUCAUACUGCUGUGGAGGCCUCCCAACUGAGAGUCCCCACAGUUCAGUGAAGGCAUCAACCACCAGAACCAGUGCUCGCUAUUCCUCUGGCACACAGAGUCGUAUAAGAAGAAUGUGGAAUGAUACUGUGAGAAAACAAUCAGAAUCUUCUUUUAUCUCAGGUGACAUCAAUAGCACUUCAACACUUAAUCAAGGACUGACAUCACAUGGUCUGAGAGCCCAUCUUCAAGAUUUAUAUCAUUUAGAGGACAUUCACUGAACAAUGCCAGGGAUACAAGUGCCAUGGAUACUCUACCGCUAAAUGGUAAUUUUAACAACAGCUACUCGCUGCGCAAGGGUGACUAUAAUGACAGCGUGCAAGUUGUGGACUGUGGACUAAGUCUGAAUGAUACUGCUUUUGAGAAAAUGAUCAUUUCAGAAUUAGUGCACAACAACUUACGGGGCAGCAGCAAGACUCACAACCUCGAGCUCACGCUACCAGUCAAACCUGUGAUUGGAGGUAGCAGCAGUGAAGAUGAUGCUAUUGUGGCAGAUGCUU
rnacentral:sRNA from 1 species